rnacentral:rRNA from 1 species
GAUGAACGCUAGCUACAGGCUUAACACAUACAAGUCGAGGGGAAACGGCAUUGAGUGCUUGCACUCUUUGGACGUCGACCGGCGCACGGGUGAGUAACGCGUAUCCAACCUUCCCAUUACUGUGGGAUAACCUGCCGAAAGGCAGACUAAUACCGCAUAGUCUUCGAUGACGGCAUCAGAUUUGAAGUAAAGAUUUAUCGGUAAUGGAUGGGGAUGCGUCUGAUUAGCUUGUUGGCGGGGUAACGGCCCACCAAGGCAACGAUCAGUAGGGGUUCUGAGAGGAAGGUCCCCCACAUUGGAACUGAGACACGGUCCAAACUCCUACGGGAGGCAGCAGUGAGGAAUAUUGGUCAAUGGACGGAAGUCUGAACCAGCCAAGUAGCGUGCAGGAUGACGGCCCUAUGGGUUGUAAACUGCUUUUGUAUGGGGAUAAAGUUAGGGACGUGUCCCUAUUUGCAGGUACCAUACGAAUAAGGACCGGCUAAUUCCGUGCCAGCAGCCGCGGUAAUACGGAAGGUCCAGGCGUUAUCCGGAUUUAUUGGGUUUAAAGGGAGCGUAGGCUGGAGAUUAAGUGUGUUGUGAAAUGUAGACGCUCAACGUCUGAAUUGCAGCGCAUACUGGUUUCCUUGAGUACGCACAACGUUGGCGGAAUUCGUCGUGUAGCGGUGAAAUGCUUAGAUAUGACGAAGAACUCCGAUUGCGAAGGCAGCUGACGGGAGCGCAACUGACGCUUAAGCUCGAAGGUGCGGGUAUCAAACAGG